UACGAAGGGUGCAAGCGUUACUCGGAAUUACUGGGCGUAAAGCGUGCGUAGGUGGUUUGUUAAGUCUGAUGUGAAAGCCCUGGGCUCAACCUGGGAAUUGCAUUGGAUACUGGCAGGCUAGAGUGCGGUAGAGGAUGGCGGAAUUCCCGGUGUAGCAGUGAAAUGCGUAGAUAUCAAGAGGAACACCUGAGGUGAAGACGGGUUGCUGGGCUGACACUGACGCUGAUAGCGCGAAAGCCAGGGGAGCAAACGGG
rnacentral:rRNA from 1 species